rnacentral:rRNA from 1 species
CAGCCGCCGCGGUAACACGUAGGUGGCAAGCGUUGUCCGGAAUUAUUGGGCGUAAAGGGCUCGCAGGCGGUUUCUUAAGUCUGAUGUGAAAGCCCCCGGCUCAACCGGGGAGGGUCAUUGGAAACUGGGAGACUUGAGUGCAGAAGAGGAGAGUGGAAUUCCACGUGUAGCGGUGAAAUGCGUAGAGAUGUGGAGGAACACCAGUGGCGAAGGCGACUCUCUGGUCUGUAACUGGCGCUGAGGAGCGAAAGCGUGGGGAGCGAACAGGAUUAGAUACCCCGGUAGUCCCUGUCUCUUAUAC